rnacentral:piRNA from 1 species
CACCAAGGAUCCCGUGAAGUUACACAGU